CUAACGGCGAAGUGAAGCGGCAAAAGCUCAAAUUUGAAAUCUGGUACCUUCGGUGCCCGAGUUGUAAUUUGGAGAGGGCAACUUUGGGGCCGUUCCUUGUCUAUGUUCCUUGGAACAGGACGUCAUAGAGGGUGAGAAUCCCGUGUGGCGAGGAGUGCGGUUCUUUGUAAAGUGCCUUCGAAGAGUCGAGUUGUUUGGGAAUGCAGCUCUAAGUGGGUGGUAAAUUCCAUCUAAAGCUAAAUAUUGGCGAGAGACCGAUAGCGAACAAGUACAGUGAUGGAAAGAUGAAAAGAACUUUGAAAAGAGAGUGAAAAAGUACGUGAAAUUGUUGAAAGGGAAGGGCAUUUGAUCAGACAUGGUGUUUUGUGCCCUCUGCUCCUUGUGGGUAGGGGAAUCUCGCAUUUCACUGGGCCAGCAUCAGUUUUGGUGGCAGGAUAAAUCCAUAGGAAUGUAGCUUGCCUCGGUAAGUAUUAUAGCCUGUGGGAAUACUGCCAGCUGGGACUGAGGACUGCGACGUAAGUCAAGGAUGCUGGCAUAAUGGUUAUAUGCCGCCCGUCUA
rnacentral:rRNA from 1 species